rnacentral:rRNA from 1 species
UGGGGAAUCUUGCGCAAUGCGCGAAAGCGUGACGCGGCAACGCCGCGUGGGGGAAGACGGCUUUCGGGUUGUAAACCCCUUUCAGGAGGGACGAAGGUUCACCGGUUAAUAGCCGUGUGGAUUGACGGUACCUCCAGAAGAAGCUCCGGCUAACUACGUGCCAGCAGCCGCGGUAAUACGUAGGGAGCAAGCGUUGUCCGGAAUCAUUGGGCGUAAAGCGCGCGUAGGCGGCCCUGUAAGUCUGCUGUGAAAGUCAAAGGCUCAACCUUUGAAAGCCGGUGGAUACUGCAGGGCUAGAGUCCGGAAGAGGCGAGUGGAAUUCCUGGUGUAGCGGUGGAAUGCGCAGAUAUCAGGAGGAACACCAAUAGCGAAGGCAGCUCGCUGGGACGGUACUGACGACUAAGGCGCGAAAGCGUGGGGAGCGAACAGGAUUAGAUACCCGUGGUAGUCCACGACCGUAAACGA